GAACUCCGACGUUACAUGGCAAACACCUCCGUCAUGCACGGCGGUCGAAGAAUUUUCCGGCGAACCGGCAGAAUUCGAGUUCGAAGCAGCGGAGGCAUUAGCUUGUUUGUCGCAUCCGGUGGAUGAAGACGGUGCAUCCGGUGAAACUGAACUCUGCGUAGACGCCGUCACCGAUCGGGUAUCCUAUUAAUUUUCUCACUGAUACUAACAGUAUAUAACUUUGCCUAUUAAUUUUGCUUCAACGUCCGUGCUCAGCAGUUGAGGUACGAGCUCUGGACAUCUGUAAUUAUGGCUGUUAUACAAUUUUAGGGUGUGUUGGGCACCAAGGAAAACAAUUUUUAAAAAUUAGUUGAGUUUCUUACUCAUCUCCUCUUUUAAUUAUUUGAUCUAAAAAUAUCUCAUUUCUUUUUCAAGAGAGAAGUAUUAAAUUCGGCGUGAUUCCUCAAAUUAUUGAUAGCCUUAAAAAUAGAUUUUAUUUAACUAAUUAAAUUUAAAUAUAGUUUUCGAUCUUUCAGCAUGACUAAAGUCUUAAAGAUUGAAGAUAUACAUAACGCAGAAGUUAGCGAAGCAAACUCGAAAGAUUCUUAUUUAAGAAAAUAAAUAAGAAAUAUAUCAAAAGACAUAAAAAUUUAAUGUUGUUAGAUUAAUCAGACAUAUAUACUAGGAAGUUUACAUAAAUUCACACAAGUGAUAACAUAGACUACCUUAUGAACGAUGAUUAGCUUCAAAGUCCUUAAGAAUACACUGUGAAUAUUAAUUAGGUUAAAAGGAACAAAUUUAUAUUUAUAUAGUUUUAAAUCUUAUUCUAUGAGAAAAAUACUAGUCAAUCUAAAACUUUUACUUAAACGGUAAAUGGUAAAAAAUUCAAGGCAAUUAAUACCCAAUAAAUCUUCUCUUGGCCUAAAUUUCUGACAAAAUAAAUUUGUCCACCUUCUUCACAGUUUGCUUUUUCUCUUCCAUCAAAUUUAUCUCUAACAAAAAUCUCCAUUACCGUAAGAAAAUGUUGCUGCUAGAACUACACCUGUCAAGACGAACACCUUUUUCUAAUCUGGUUCAAUCAUUGAUUAUCGAACCAUUGAACAUGACUCCAUCAUUUAACAUAACUCUGAUAUCAUUUGUAAACAGGUGUAACGCAAAAGCUACCAAAACAAACCUCGAAAGGCCAUAAGUAAGAAGAUAAAUGAGAAACACACCAAAAUAUAGAUUUAAUGUUGUUCGGUCAAUUGACCGAAGGAGAUGUACAAUCCACUAUAAAUAUGAAAGUAUAUAAAUAUGAAAGUAUAAAUAUAGAGAGAACAUGUGAGUUUUACACAAAUGGUAACGAAUUAAACGUGUGUUCCACAAAUUUUUCUCCUAAACAAAACUUUCAAAGUCGUUAAGACUACAUUGUGAAUUUUAAUUAUGUUAGAAGAAACAAACCUAAACCUUUUCCUAAAAAGAAAAAUAUAUAUAUGGUAAAAAAUUCAAGGUAAAUAAAACCCAAUAUGAAAGUACAUUUCUAAUGGCAUAAUACAUAAAUGUGUCAUUUAACUUGACUUCAAAUUGCAUAUAUGCCCUUCAACUUUGGAUGUGCACAUAUUGUGCCGUGUAGGACUCAUGUAUUUAUUUACUUAAAAGUUGGAUAGUUAAAGUAUCUCUUUUUGCAUUAUGAAAGUUGGAGGUUAAAGUUAAAAUUUAAAACCAAAGUUUAGGAUCUGUAUUAUGCAUUUCUAAAUUCUCUUUAUUUUUUUAACACUUUUUUUUUGGUUGAGACUCUUUAAUACUCCUAGACUAUGUAGCAAAUCAGGAUGUAUCCAAGUCAAAUUAAUCAUCUAAAAUGGUGUUUUAGAAAUAAAAUCAAUAAUUUGCUGUUCGUUUUCAAAACUUCUCUUUUUUCAAAUAAAGAUAUUGUGUCAUUUCUUUUUGAAGUCGAUUCUUUUUCUAAGGAGAGAGAUAAACAUUUUUUAUUAGAAAAUGUUUAUACUACAUUGAGAAAAUACAAAUAUUUUCUAUUUUAUUAGGAAAAAGAAUUGGUUAUCAAAAUGAAAUUAAUGGAUAAAACUAUUAAGUAGAGCAUUUUUUUUUGUUCAACGGAAGGCUACGAGUGAGGUGGAUCUUAGGAUGGACAUGAGACAAUUAAUAUGAAACGUAGUUUUCUUAUUUCAAAAUCUGUCAUUAAAAAACUUUUAAAAAUGUUUUCCUCCAUACCAAACACACCACAACACUGUGAUCCCCUUAUGGGACGAGUCGAGUUAAUUGAAUUGAGAAUUAUCAGGAGAGGGGAAAAAGGAACACGAAACCACUCUCAAUGGGUAUUGUCUCUUUAUGAUCUCUAGGAAAUGGACUCAACAUAUAUAACAAUUAGUUUCUUUAUCAUUUUUAGUUACUUAAGGGCGUACAUUGUGAAUUCUUUUGUUUCUUAGUUUAAGAUAUGACAGUCCGAGCUGAAUUACUCUAUUGCGGGUUUUCUCGGAAUGUCUAGGAGGCACAGGUCAGUUUCCUCAUUUGCUUUUUGAUAUGGACUUAAUUUAGCUAUUGACAGGAAUUAAUUUAACUUUCAUUUACAUAUGUUCGUGUGUGCAUCUUUUGGCGUAACUGGUUAUUACCUUACCUCAGGACCAAAUUGGUUAUUGGGCAGUACUGCAAGUAUUAGUAACAGGAGCAACGAAUAGACGUGAAGUUUGAAGAUGAGAAAGAAGUAGCUACUCAGACUGGAUAUGAAUCUGAACUCAAAACAAGCCUUAGAAGGAAGAACGAAGGAUGCGCCGUGUAUUAGCUAACAGAGAAUCUGCCAAGCGGACAAUUCGUCGAAGACAGCAUGUCAAAAAUCUGACAGUUUUUCCUUAAAAGGCAAUGCGAGAGGAAAUGAGAAGAAAAGCAGAUGAUCUCGCACUGGAGAAUGAAAAUUUGAAGAAGAUUAAAGAACUUGCUGCUGCGGAAUACAAUUUCUUGAAGAACAAAAACGAUAACUUGAGAAUGCAGAUAGCUAAAAAUGUGAAGGCUGAAGUAGAGGAAACAUAUGAUGAUUCCAAGUCUCCUCUCGUGGAAACUCAUACUUCAACCACAUCCACAACUUCCUU